CGCCUUUCGGAUAAAUAAACUGAAAGGUCCUGCCUGCCCAGUGAUAAUUAAUUUAACGGCCGCGGUAUUAUGACCGUGCAAAGGUAGCAUAAUCACUUGUCUUUUAAAUCAAGACCAGCAUGAAUGGCAAAACGAAAGCCUAACUGUCUCCUUAGGUUAGUCAAUGAAAUUGAUUUUCUCGUGCAGAAGCGAGAAUAUAAGUAUAAGACGAGAAGACCCUGUGGAGCUUUAAAAUAAUAUUAUAUAAGCAUCUUAUAAUAAUCUUAAGUUUAGGUUGGGGCGACCAUGAGGUAAAAUAAAACCCUCAAGACAAUAACUAGAAGUACUCUUCAAAUAAAAAGUAAUACCUACAUAUGACCCAAUAAUGAUCAACGAACCAAGUUACCCCAGGGAUAACAGCGCAAUCUAUUCCUAAAGUUCAUAUUAACGAAUGGGUUUACGACCUCGAUGUUGGAUCAGGACACCCCAAUGGUGCAACAACUAUUAAAGGUUCGUUUGUUCAACGAUUAAAGUCCU
rnacentral:rRNA from 1 species